rnacentral:tRNA from 1 species
GCGGCCGUAGCUCAGCGGGAGAGCGCCCGGCUGAAGACAGUCGCAAGACCUCCAACGGGCGGUCCCGGGUUCAAAUCCCGGCGGCCGCA